GAAGCUCAUUAUGAAGCCAAUUUCCAUUUCCAAAGCCAACCAAGGCCACAUACUGAGACUGUCUCAGAAAAGAAGAAAGAGGUAAUGGAGAAAUAGUGGUGACAGGGCUGAGGGACCUUGCAUUGGCCACGGUCUUCUGAGUUUGGGGUAACUGGCCAGGGGAGGGGAUGCCAGCUGUGACGAUUGGUUUUUAUGGUCCACUUGACAUGCAAAGCCACCUGGGAAGGGAGUCUCAGUAAGGAAUGUUCUAGAUUUGGUUGGCUUGCAGACAUGUAAGAUUUUCUUAACUGAGGUGAGAAGACCCAUCCUGAAUGUGAGUGGCAGCAUUUCAUGGGCUGGAGCCAGGAUCAAAGGAGAAAGAGGGCAGGCUGAGCACUUAGCAGGCAUGCACUAACCCAUCGCUUCUGACGGUGAAUGUGCUGUGACCACUGCUUCAUGUUCCUGCCAGAGACUCUCCUGUAGUAAUGGAUUCUAACUUCAAAUUAUAAGCCUAAUAAGUCCUUUCUCCCUUCAGUUGCAUCUGUCAAUAGGUUUUAUCAUGCUUUAGGGUUCUCUAAAGGAACAGAACUAAUGAUAGCAUGAAUGAAUAUAAAGAGAGAGGUAUUG
ensembl:processed_transcript